rnacentral:rRNA from 1 species
GACGAACGCUGGCGGCGUGCCUAAUACAUGCAAGUUGAGCGCUGAAGGUUGGUACUUGUACCAACUGGAUGAGCAGCGAACGGGUGGGUAACGCGUGGGGAAUCUGCCUUUGAGCGGGGGACAACAUUUGGAAACGAAUGCUAAUACCGCAUAAAAACUUUAAACACAAGUUUUAAGUUUGAAAGAUGCAAUUGCAUCACUCAAAGAUGAUCCCGCGUUGUAUUAGCUAGUUGGUGAGGUAAAGGCUCACCAAGGCGAUGAUACAUAGCCGACCUGAGAGGGUGAUCGGCCACAGUGGGACUGAGACACGGCCCAAACUCCUACGGGAGGCAGCAGUAGGGAAUCUUCGGCAAUGGACGAAAGUCUGACCGAGCAACGCCGCGUGAGUGAAGAAGGUUUUCGGAUCGUAAAACUCUGUUGGUAGAGAAGAACGUUGGUGAGAGUGGAAAGCUCAUCAAGUGACGGUAACUACCCAGAAAGGGACGGCUAACUACGUG